rfam:Gorilla gorilla gorilla genomic chromosome, chr1, whole genome shotgun sequence
GCCAGGCAUGAUGGCUCAUGCCUGUAAUCCCAGCACUUUGGGAGGCAGAGGCGGGUGGACCACCUGAGGUCAGGAGUUCAAGACCAACCUGGCCAACAUGGUGAAACCCCGUCUCUU